rnacentral:rRNA from 1 species
AGUGAACGCUGGCGGUAGGCCUAACACAUGCAAGUCGAACGGCAGCUCAGUAAGAGCUUGCUCUUACGGGUGGCGAGUGGCGGACGGGUGAGGAAUACAUCGGAAUCUACUUUUUCGUGGGGGAUAACGUAGGGAAACUUACGCUAAUACCGCAUACGACCUACGGGUGAAAGCAGGGGAUCUUCGGACCUUGCGCGAUUGAAUGAGCCGAUGUCGGAUUAGCUAGUUGGCGGGGUAAAGGCCCACCAAGGCGACGAUCCGUAGCUGGUCUGAGAGGAUGAUCAGCCACACUGGAACUGAGACAGGGUCCCGACUCCUACGGCAGGCAGCAGUCGGGAAUAUUGGACAAUGGGCGCAAGCCUGAUCCAGCCAUACCGCGUGGGUGAAGAAGGCCUUCGGGUUGUAAAGCCCUUUUGUUGGGAAAGAAAAGCAGCAGGUUAAUACCCCGCUGUUCUGACGGUACCCAAAGAAUAAGCACCGGCUAACUUCGUG